rnacentral:rRNA from 1 species
CUAGUAACGGCGAGUGAAGAGGGAAGAGCCCAAGAUUGAAAGCUGGCGUCUUUGGCGUCCGCAUUGUAAUCUCAAGAAGUGUUUUCCGCUUCGGACCAAGCCCAAGUCCCUUGGAAAAGGGCAUCAUAGAGGGUGAUAAUCCCGUACAUGGCUUGGAGCGCCCGUAGCUUUGUGAUACACUUUCUAAGAGUCGAGUUGUUUGGGAAUGCAGCUCAAAAUGGGUGGUAAAUGCCAUCUAAGGCUAAAUAUUGGGGAGAGACCGAUAGCGAACAAGUACAGUGAUGGAAAGAUGAAAAGAACUUUGAAAAGAGAGUUAAACAGUACGUGAAAUUGCCAAAAGGGAAGGGUAGGAGGUCACAGAUGCUUCCUGGGAAUUUAUUCCCAGAUUGCAGGCCAACGUCGGUUUUGGGCGCUGGAGAAGGGUAGGAGGAACGUGGCACCCCUCGGGGUGUGUUAU